AAUUAUAUUAUUUUGUUUAUUGGUUAACUCGCAGGAUAUGCGAGUUAAUUCAUUUGAGAUUGUAAUCCGCCAUAUACUAACUCGAUAACCCUGACUUUUUAGAAAUCUAAAAGUAUAACCCUAUAAUAAAAUAGAUUAUGUCCAACUCGCGGAUUCUAAACCUGAAUUGACAUGGCGGAACCAUUCAUAAAACCAUACCAAUUCUUGCGUUUUGGAAAGUUGGUUUCCUUUUCAUUUCUUUGAAUUUGAUCCUAGAUUGUGUAGUUCUCAAGCUCAUGCUCUUGCUCGUCAAA
rnacentral:sRNA from 1 species